rnacentral:rRNA from 2 species
UGACCUUCUGACCUCAAAUCAGGUAGGGUUACCCGCUGAACUUAAGCAUAUCAAUAAGCGGAGGGAAAAGAAACUAACAAGGAUUCCCCUAGUAACUGCGAGUGAAGCGGGAAAAGCUCAAAUUUAAAAUCUGGCGGUCUUUGGCCGUCCGAGUUGUAGUCUGGAGAAGUGUCUUCCGCGCUGGACCGUGUAUAAGUCUCUUGGAACAGAGCGUCAUAGAGGGUGAGAAUCCCGUCUUUGGCAUGGGCUACCAGUGCUUUGUGAUGCGCUCUCAAAGAGUCGAGUUGUUUGGGAAUGCAGCUCAAAAUGGGUGUAAAUUCCAUCUAAAGCUAAAUAUUGGCGAGAGACCCGAUAGCGGACCAAGGNCCGUGAGGGAAAGAUGAAAAGCACUUUGGAAAGAGAGUUAAACAGUACGUGAAAUUGNUGAAAGGGNAACGCUUGAAGUCAGUCGCGUUGGCCAGGACUCAGCCUUGCUGUUGCUUGGUGUACUUUCUGGUUGACGGGCCAGCAUCGAUUUUAACCGCUGGAAAAAGGCUGAGGGAAUGUGGCACCCUCGGGUGUGUUAUAGCCUUCAGUCACAUACAGUGGUUAGGAUCGAGGACCGCAGCACGCCUUUAUGGCCGGGGUUCGCCCACGUUCGUGCUUAGGAUGCUGGCGUAAUGGCUUUAAACGACCCGUCUUGAAACACGGACCAAGGAGUCUAACAUGCCUGCGAGUGUUUGGGUGGAAAACCCGAGCGCGCAAUGAAAGUGAAAGUUGAGAUCCCUGUCGUGGGGAGCAUCGACGCCCGGACCUGAACUUCGGUGAUGGAUCUGCGGUAGAGCAUGUAUGUUGGGACCCGAAAGAUGGUGAACUAUGCCUGAAUAGGGUGAAGCCAGAGG